GGAGGGUUGGCAGAGCGGCCGAUUGCGGCGGUCUUGAAAACCGCUGAUCCGUCACCGGAUCCGGGGGUUCGAAUCCCUCACCCUCCG
rnacentral:tRNA from 1 species